rnacentral:rRNA from 1 species
AUUGAACGCUGGCGGCAGGCCUAACACAUGCAAGUCGAACGAGUGGCGGACGGGUGAGUAAUUUCUGGAAAACUGCCUGAUGGAGGGGGAUAACUACUGGAAACGGUAGCAAAUACCGCAUACCAUCAGAUGGGCCCAGGUGGGAUUAGCUUGUUGGUGGGGUAACGGCACACCAAGGCGACGAUCCCUAGCUGGUCUGAGAGGCUGACCAGCCACACUGGGACUGAGACACGGUCCAGACUCCUACGGGAGGCAGCAGUGGGGAAUAUUGGACAAUGGGCGCAAGCCUGAUGCAGCCAUGCCGCGUGUAUGAAGAAGGCCUUUGGGUUGUAAAGCACUUUUAGCGGGGAGGCGUUACCCGCAGAAGAAGCACCGGCUAACUCCGUGCCAGCAGCCGCGGUAAUAC